rnacentral:rRNA from 1 species
UACGGAGGGUGCAAGCGUUAUCCGGAUUCACUGGGUUUAAAGGGUGCGUAGGCGGACAGGUAAGUCAGUGGUGAAAUCUCUGGGCUUAACUCAGAAACUGCCGUUGAUACUAUUUGUCUUGAAUAUCCUGGAGGUAGGCGGAAUAUGUCAUGUAGCGGUGAAAUGCUUAGAUAUGACAUAGAACACCGAUAGCGAAGGCAGCUUACUACAGGAUGAUUGACGCUGAGGCACGAAAGCGUGGGGAGCAAACAGG